AACAGGGUCUCAUUAUGGAGCGAAAGAUGGCCGCAAUUCACACUCCUCCUCGCUCACCUUCUGAGUGCUGGGAACAAGGUGUCCUUUCACACGUCUGCUUCAGCAAAACAUCCUUUCACCUGUGUGCCCCAGCAAAACAUCGUUUGACAACUGACUUUCCAUGGAAAGCGGAAGUUUCCACUUCGCCAAUGUGUUAUGGAAUAAUAAAACUCUCUGGGUUCU